CUCGUAGGUGGUUUGUCGCGUUGUUCGUGAAAACUCACAGCUUAACUGUGGGCGUGCGGGCGAUACGGGCAGACUGGAGUACUGCAGGGGAGACUGGAAUUCCUGGUGUAGCGGUGGAAUGCGCAGAUAUCAGGAGGAACACCGGUGGCGAAGGCGGGUCUCUGGGCAGUAACUGACGCUGAGGAGCGAAAGCGUGGGGAGCGAAC
rnacentral:rRNA from 1 species